rnacentral:rRNA from 1 species
AUGCUCGCCGGCCGUGAGCCCCAGAAAGUGAAGCUGCGGGAGGCCGGCAGCGGGCGUCGCAGGCUAUGGGACAUGGUGGUGGUGUUCGACGGCGAAGGCCACAUGUACUUAGGGAUCGGCUGGGAGCAUUUCGCCCACACCCAUGAGCUGCAUCUUGGGCACUUCCUUGUCUUCCGCUACGAUGGCGACGCCAUGUUCACCAUGAAGAUGUUCGACAACACCAUGUGCCGCAUGUACUACCAGCACGAUGACGAUGCCAGCAAUGGGAGCAGCAGCGGGGAUGACGAGGAGCAUAGUGGGAAAGAAGAGGAGCAGAGCGGGGAUGACAAGGAGCAGAGCAGGGAGGUGCAGCCUAUUCUGGCUGAUGACGACCUUGCUAUGGUGGUGGAUGACGACGACCCUGCUAUGGUGGUGGCUGACGACGACCUUGCGAUUGUGGUGCCUGAUGCUGACCUCGCGAUGGUAGUGGCACCGGCAAUUCCACAGCUGGGUGACAGGACCAUGCCAAUUGUGGUAGAGGAGUACAUCUGCGUCGGCAUUCGCCACUCUGAGCGCAUCAGGAGGAUGAAGGAGAAUAAGGAGAAGAACGAGUGA